AACGAACGCUGGCGGCAGGCUUAGCACAUGCAAGUCGAGCGCCCUAGCAAUAGGGAGCGGCGCACGGGUGAGUAACGCGUGGGAACGUACCAUUUAGUGGGGGAUAACUUCGGGAAACUGAAGCUAAUACCGCAUACGCCCGAGAGGGGAAAGAUUUAUCGCUAAAUGAUCGGCCCGCGUGAGAUUAGGUAGUUGGUGGGGUAAUGGCCUACCAAGCCUACGAUCUCUAGCUGGUCUGAGAGGAUGAUCAGCCACACUGGAACUGAGAAACGGUCCAGACUCCUACGGGAGGCAGCAGUGGGGAAUAUUGGACAAUGGGGGAAACCCUGAUCCAGCCAUGCCGCGUGAAUGAUGAAGGCUUUAGGGUUGUAAAGUUCUUUCACCGAUGAAGAUAAUGACGGUAGUCGGAGAAGAAGCCCCGGCUAACUUCGUGCCAGCCGCCGCCGUAA
rnacentral:rRNA from 1 species